AACGAACGCUGGCGGCGUGCCUAACACAUGCAAGUCGUACGAGAAAUCCUGGGCAACCGGGAGAGUAAAGUGGCGCACGGGUGAGUAACGCGUGGGUAACCUACCCUUAAAUUCAGGAUAACUCUUCGAAAGGGGAGUUAAUACCGAAUAAUAUUCCGAUUCCCCCGGGAAUUGGAAUCAAAGGUGGCCUCUGCAUGCAAGCUAUCGUUUAAGGAUGGGCCCGCGUACCAUUAGCUAGUUGGUAGGGUAAUGGCCUACCAAGGCGACGAUGGUUAGCUGGUCUUAGAGGAUGGCCAGCCACACUGGAACUGAGACACGGUCCAGACUCCUACGGGAGGCUG
rnacentral:rRNA from 1 species